AGAGUACGUGAAACCGUUCAGGGGUAAACCUGAGAAACCCGAAAGGUCGAAAGGGGAAAUUCAUUCGCGUUUCGACCGUCGGCGUCGGAUGGUCGAGUGACGGAUGGCGUACGCGUCGUCCGCGCCUUCCUUCCUUCGAACCGGCGUCGAACGCGUGCACUUUUCCCCUAGUAGGACGUCGCGAUCCGUUGGGUGUCGGUCUAAGGCCCGCGGUGGAGCCCGCGCGGACGUUUCGGCGUCCGCUCGGACCCGCGGUGUCCCGGCCGACUCGCUCGACGGUAUACAGAUGGCGCGGGGCCGCUACUUAUCAGUUAGCGUUCGGCCUGCGGCAAGCGCGUUCGGUGUUUGACGGCGAUCGGACCUGGUGCCGGUCCUGUCCCCGAACGACUGUUGGCCGCGGUGUUCUCGAACAGACCUCGUUUAUGAAACGCCGAUCUGCGACGCUAUAGCUUUGGGUACUUUCAGGACCCGUCUUGAAACACGGACCAAGGAGUCUAGCAUGUGCGCGAGUCAUUGGGACAUAACUAAACCUAAAGGCGCAAUGAAAGUGAAGGUCCGCCUUGCGCGGACCGAGGGAGGAUGGGCGGUUUGCCCUUAAAAGGCGGCCGCUCCGCACUCCCGGGGCGUCUCGUUCUCAUCGCGAGAAGA
rnacentral:rRNA from 1 species